AAUCUCAUAUCUUGAAUCUAUAAGUAGCUUAGUUCUAUAAAUAGUUUGGUUCUAAAUCUGAUAGUUUAAUAGUUUACCACCUGCUUGUUUGUAUAAUUAGCUUGGUGAUAAAGUUAUGAUAGUUUUAAUACUUCACUAAUUUACCACCAAUUUACCACCUGCCCGCCAGUCAUUUCUCCUUUUCUUCCUACGAUGUCCCGGAGCCUACUGCUGAUCACGCUGUGCUUCAUUUUAUUAAUGCUGGUUAAUCCAGGACUAACAAAGAAAAACAAAAAAAGGAGAAACAAAAAUAGAUAUGAUAAUCUGACAACCUGCUCAGGACAUCAACUACGGGGCAUGACCUGCGAGUGUUUAGCUUCUAACUACAACAUGAGGGGGUGUCCUGAUGAUUUAAAAAAAGGUUCCAAACAGUGCAUCCACUAUGAAACCUACUGUAAAAGCUCCAAAUUAUCACCAGCAAAACAGGGUAAAAUGUGUUGUCAAGCUAUCCUUUGCAAUAUCAACCUUAAAAACUGUUGAUUUGACGAGUUGGGAAUAUAAACGGUAGUGGAAGUAUUGUGGAAGCACUACCAAUACCAUAACUUCAUAAUGUAGCAAUGUUGAGUUAAUUACUGAUUACGUAAUUUAUAGACAAUAAUUUUGAGCCGCUUUGGAAUUUCUUGGAAGAAAAAUUACAUAAUCGAGAUCAAUGAUGAAUUUAUCCACGAUAACAUUUUGAAGAUUUCAUAAACGUGCGAUUUUAUAA